GAUCAUGGCUCAGGAUGAACGCUAGCGACAGGCUUAACACAUGCAAGUCGAGGGGCAGCGGGGGUAGCAAUACCCGCCGACGACCGGCGCACGGGUGAGUAACGCGUAUGCAACUUACCUAUCAGAGGGGGAUAACCCGGCGAAAGUCGGACUAAUACCGCAUGAAGCAGGGGCCCGCAUGGGGAUAUUUGCUAAAGAUUCAUCGCUGAUAGAUAGGCAUGCGUUCCAUUAGG
rnacentral:rRNA from 1 species